UACGAAGGGGGCUAGCGUUGCUCGGAAUCACUGGGCGUAAAGAGCUCGUAGGCGGUCUGUCGCGUCGGCUGUGAAAUCCCGAGGCUCAACCUCGGGUCUGCAGUCGAUACGGGCAAACUAGAGUAUUGCAGGGGAGACUGGAAUUCCUGGUGUAGCGGUGAAAUGCGCAGAUAUCAGGAGGAACACCGGUGGCGAAGGCGGGUCUCUGGGCAAUAACUGACGCUGAGGAGCGAAAGCGUGGGGAGCGAACAGG
rnacentral:rRNA from 1 species